rnacentral:rRNA from 1 species
CAGCCGCCGCGGUAAUACGAAGGGGGCUAGCGUUGCUCGGAAUUACUGGGCGUAAAGGGCGCGUAGGCGGACAGUUCAGUCGGGGGUGAAAGCCCGGGGCUCAACCUCGGAAUUGCCUUCGAUACUGGCUGUCUUGAGUAUGAGAGAGGUGUGUGGAACUCCGAGUGUAGAGGUGAAAUUCGUAGAUAUUCGGAAGAACACCAGUGGCGAAGGCGACACACUGGCUCAUUACUGACGCUGAGGCGCGAAAGCGUGGGGAGCAAACAGGAUUAGAUACCCGUGUAGUCCCUGUCUCUUAUAC